rnacentral:rRNA from 1 species
GGCUCAGGAUGAACGCUAGCGGCAGGCUUAACACAUGCAAGUCGAGGGCAGCAAGGAUUGUGCUUGCUACAAUUUGUUGGCGACCGGCGCACGGGUGCGUAACGCGUAUGUAACCUACCUUUAACAGGGGGGAUAACACUGAGAAAUUGGUACUAAUACCCCAUUAAUACUUUGAAAGGCAUCUUUCGAAGUUGAAAGUUCCGGCGGUUAGAGAUGGGCAUGCGUUGUAUUAGCUAGAUGGUGAGGUAACGGCUCACCAUGGCGACGAUACAUAGGGGGACUGAGAGGUUAACCCCCCACAUUGGUACUGAGACACGGACCAAACUCCUACGGGAGGCAGCAGCGAGGAAUAUUGGUCAAUGGACGCAAGUCUGAACCAGCCAUGCCGCGUGCAGGAUGACGGCUCUAUGAGUUGUAAACUGCUUUUGUAUUAGGGUAAACCUUAGUACGUGUACUAAGCUGAAAGUAUAAUACGAAUAAGGAUCGGCUAACUCCGUG